AUGAACGCUGGCGGCGUGCCUCAUCCAUGCAAGUCGCGCGAACGGACGAGAAGCUUGCUUCUCUAAUGUUAGCGGCGGACGGGUGAGUAACACGUGGAUAACCUACCUAUAAGACUGGGAUAACUUCGGGAAACCGUAGCUAAUACCGGAUAAUAUUUUGAACCGCAUGGUUCAAAAGUGAAAGACGGUCUUGCUGUCACUUAUAGAUGGAUCUGCGCUGCAUUAGCUAGUUGGUAAGGUAACGGCUUACCAAGGCAACGAUGCAUAGCCGACCUGAGAGGGUGAUCGGCCACACUGGAACUGAGACACGGUCCAGACUCCUACGGGAGGCAGCAGUAGGGAAUCUUCCGCAAUGGGCGAAAGCCUGACGGAGCAACGCCGCGUGAGUGAUGAAGGUCUUCGGAUCGUAAAACUCUGUUAUUAGGGAAGAACAUAUGUGUAAGUAACUGUGCACAUCUUGACGGUACCUAAUCAGAAAGCCACGGCUAACUACGU
rnacentral:rRNA from 1 species